GACGAACGCUGGCGGCGUGCUUAACACAUGCAAGUCGAACGGAAAGGCCCUGCUUGCAGGGUACUCGAGUGGCGAACGGGUGAGUAACACGUGUGUGAUCUGCCCUGCACUUCGGGAUAAGCCUUGGAAACUGGGUCUAAUACCGGAUAGGAGCCAUUUUUAGUGUGAUGGUUGGAAAGUUUUUUCGGUGUAGGAUGAGCUCGCGGCCGAUCAGCUUGUUGGUGGGGUAAUGGCCUACCAAGGCGGCGACGGGUAGCCGGCCUGAGAGGGUGGACGGCCACAUUGGGACUGGGAUACGGCCCAGACUCCUACGGGAGGCAGCAGUGGGGAAUAGUGAACAAUGGGCGCGAGCCUGAUGCAGCGACGCCGCGUGGGGGAUGGCGGCCUUCGGGUUGUAAACUCCUUUCGCUAGGGACGAAGCUUUUUGUGACGGUACCUAGAGAAGAAGCACCGGCUAACUACGUG
rnacentral:rRNA from 1 species